rnacentral:misc_RNA from 1 species
AAUAGAAUUAGUGUUGAUGUGCCCGAGUCACCGGCUAAGGGGCUAAGCUGUCCUGGAAUAACGCCACUCUACCAGUUCGUAUUCAAAUGUGCUGACCUUGAAGUAGAACACGAGAAGACGAUGUUUUUGGGCUGCCAGAAAGAAGAUCUCGUCCUGGUUUUAUUCGUGGCAAUUUUCUUUGCUUCGAGCUGUGCUUUGACGGGGAAAAAUAAUCGUCCUGAAGUGACAAUCUCCCAGGGAAUCCUGCGAGGAAAAACACUCACUACUCGCUAUGGUCGAAAUGUAUCAGCGUUUCUCGGAAUUCCUUAUGGGCGACCGCCGAAAGGGGAUCUUAGAUUUACAGCUCCUGUUGCAGCAGAGAGUUGGAACGGAACUCGAGACGCUAGUAUUGAUGGAAAUAUUUGCCCACAAGCCCAAUAUGAUGAAAUUGUAGGAGAUGAGGACUGCCUGUAUAUAAACGUGUAUACUCCACACGAAAUGCUUUCAUCGUGUGAUCCACACAUUAAGGUUCACGAAUGCCCGAAGUCGACACUCUUUCCGGUUAUGGUGUUCGUCUAUGGUGGAGGCUACGUCUCAGGAAGCUUUCUUCCCACGUCGUAUGGUCCAGAGUACAUUCUUGACAAGGAUGUGGUUCUUGUCGUAUUCAAUUAUCGCCUAGGACCAUUGGGAUUUUUGAGCACUGGCGACGAGGUGGCGUCUGGAAAUUGGGGACUAAAAGACCAAAUCUUAGCCUUAAAGUGGGUUCAGGACAAUAUCGCACAUUUUGGUGGUGAUCCUGAUCAAGUGACUUUGUUCGGACAAAGUGCAGGCGGUGCUUCUAUUCACCUCUUGUCGCUGACAAAUGUCACGAUUGGACUCUUUCAUCGAUACAUAACACAAAGUGGACCGGCACUUUCUUCAUUGGCUUACUUGCCCAGAGCUACUUGUGCGAGGCAUGCAUUCAAACUUGGGGAAUAUGUCGGCUGUUACAACGGGACGUCAGAUUCUUUGAUCAACUGUUUACGGACAGUAAAUAUCUCGGAUAUUAUAGCCGCAUAUCCGAAGUUUCACGUAUGGGAAUCAUAUCCUUUUUCCGUAUGGACUCCAACCGAUGAGCUGGAUAUGGAAGGCGCUGUGCUUACUGCCAGUCCAGCUAAUUUGAUAAGUGCUGGUCACAUCCGUGAUUUACCUUGGAUUUCUGGUAUGACACGGAAUGACGGGCUACUAGAAACUGCAAAGUUUUAUGUCGACGACGUACUGCUGAGUGAUUUUCUGGAAAAUUUUGACACUCUACUGCCUGUUUUCCUAAUGUCGUCUUAUGCUCCAGAUGUUGUUGCUGAUUUUAUCGAAGCUGUCAAAUUGUACUACUUCAACGACAAUUUGACAAUCAGUAAUAACGUGCUACUUGAGAAUCUUACCAGACUCGUGAGUGACGAUUUUUUUUACUACCCGGUUUACGAAGCAUUCCAGAAACAGCUUGAACUAGCUGUGAAUCCACAAUAUCUGUACAUUUUCAACUAUCGCGGUACUUUCAGUAACUCUUACUUAGAAACGGAUUCUACAGCUAACUAUGGCACGGCACACUCCGAUGAUUUGAUAUAUCUUUUUCCAUCGGAAGCAAAAUUCUCGGGUAUUAAUAAAACCAUGAGCAUAAUGGAUUAUCAAAUGGUGGACAUUAUGGUGGAGUUGUGGACGUCUUUUGCUAUUAAUGGAACACCUUCGGUUUCAACUUCCGACCGUACUACAAUAUGGAUGCCGUAUUUGAAGGAGCACAAUUACCUACGGAUCGGAAAUGUAUCCAGUGUCGAACUCAAUCUGGAACAUUCCUUCUUCAAAGAACGAGUGCAGUUCUGGGACAGUUUGAAGACCACGUUAAAGUGUGGCAGUCGCAGAAAUCUACGUAAAAGAAAAAAUAGACCACUUGAUAUCAGGUUUAGAAAAAGGAGGAAGAAUAGUAUACCUGUAUGCUGAAAGUAUGUAUGGUAUAAACCGAGUAUAACUGUCCAAAUUAUAAUUUCAACAUUGAGUAUUUUUAUGUUUAACAAUGUUGUCUGAAAUAGUUGUUCAUUAAACUUAAGUAUGGCCGAGCAUUUUUUAAGUAGAUUCAAUUUCAUUAGCUACGAUUAAACUUUUUCUACCUCAUGUGUUUGUUUUGACACAAUUUUGAAUCGAUCUGUCGGUCCUUAAAAUGCUAUAUUGCCAAAUUUCUACACUGCUGACGCGCACGCAAUUUCACGAUAUUCUUACUUCUGCCCAACUCGCAUUAGAGAUUUGCAAAUCCAGUGACAGCCGACAGAUGGAAAGGAAUUCGAAAUGCAAGUGACGAUGCAAGUGACGAUGCAAGUGGCUGCCUUCGGGCAUCAGGUGAUCUAAUCGUGGGAGAUGAGGACUGCCUGUAUUUGAAUGUGUGCACGCCGCAGGUUAUUGAUGAACUGCGAGAAAUAAUGUCAACUUCGUUUUUUCAAAAAAUGAGACUUUCAGAUCCGAACUUUUGCAGGAAAUCUGCAGGGGAAAAUAUUUCUGUAUGACUUAUUAUUUCCGACAAAAUGUUGGACCGGCUCACUUCGUUGAUAAAGUUAUUUCACAGUGAGGAGUUAGCCACUUAUCAGUUCGUGUGUACAUUCGAUUUCAAAAUCUCACGAGAUUUAAAAGGAUUUCAGAGAUUUCAAAGAUUUCAUAAGAUGAAUGAUGUACAUCAGAUUUCAAGGCAGCAGGAAUUUUCACAAUUGAAACAGCGCCAAUGAAAAUUUCUUUGACAACGCACUUCAGCUUCCAAAUGGAAAAAGAUCACCACUACUUCUGGUUAUAAUGUUCACUCACGGCGGAAGAUUCAUUGAAAGAAGUGCUUCUUCAAUGCGAUACGGCCCAAAAUAUGUGCUUGACGAAGACGUGCUCCUUGUUACUUUCAACAACCGUUGGGGCCAUUCGGGUAUUUGAGCACUGGUGACGAAGUGGCGUCUGGAAACUGGGUUCUCAAGUUCGAAAGCAGCUCGCUCUGGCGGAUAAUCGGCAGUUUUUUAAUGAAUGAAAACUAUACGUUUACGGUGGUUCAACAGCCAACUACGGUGUGGCGCAUGGUGACGACCUGAUUAACCUCUUCCCAAGAAAUCAGUUUUUCAAAAAUCUGUAGAACCAAACCAUGUGUGAUACCGACUUCCAAAUGGAUGACAUCAUGGUGCUUCUAAAAUGUAACGGUUUUUCAUCACGAUUGUGAAUGCACAGUAAUCUAUUGCUAGGCCUGCAUUGUCAGAAAUACGGUGUUAAAUAUAACACCGAAAAUAUUUUAUAGAAGUCCACAUCAUUUUGGUGCUGAUUUAAGACCAUUUAGUCUUAAGAAUAGGAUGAUUUACGCCGAUUUCGUUUAAUUUUACACUAAUCGAUGUGGAUUUUUAUUGACACCGUGAAUUUUCUGACAGUGUGUGCAAACAAUCGAUUAAUUGUACACGUUGAGUAAUUAUUCUUACAAUCGAUCGAUGAAUCG